rnacentral:rRNA from 1 species
UACUACUUGGAUAACCGUGGUAAUUCUAGAGCUAACACAUGCUGAAAACCCCGACUUCGGGAGGGGUGUAUUUAUUAGAUAAAAAACCAAUGCCCUUCGGGGCUCCUUGGUGAUUCAUGAUAACUUAACGGAUCGCAUGGCCUUGCGCCGGCGACGGUUCAUUCAAAUUUCUGCCCUAUCAACUUUCGAUGGUAAGGUAUUGGCUUACCAUGGUUUCAACGGGUAACGGGGAAUUAGGGUUCGGUUCCGGAGAGGGAGCCUGAGAAACGGCUACCACAUCCAAGGAAGGCAGCAGGCGCGCAAAUUACCCAAUCCCGACACGGGGAGGUAGUGACAAUAAAUACUGAUACAGGGCUCUUUUGGGUCUUGUAAUUGGAAUGAGUACAAUUUAAACCCCUUAACGAGGAACAAUUGGAGGGCAAGUCUGGUGCCAGCAGCCGCGGUAAUUCCAGCUCCAAUAGCGUAUAUUAAAGUUGUUGCAGUUAAAAAGCUCGUAGUUGAAUCUUGGGUCUGGCUGGCCGGUCCGCCUCACCGCGUGUACUGGUCCGGCCGGGCCUUUCCUUCUGGAGAGCCCCAUGCCCUUCACUGGGUGUGCGGGGGAACCAGGACUUUUACUUUGAAAAAAUUAGAGUGUUCAAAGCAGGCCUUUGCUCGAAUACGUUAGCAUGGAAUAAUAGAAUAGGACGUGCGGUUCUAUUUUGUUGGUUUCUAGAACCGCCGUAAUGAUUAAUAGGGAUAGUCGGGGGCAUCAGUAUUCAAUUGUCAGAGGUGAAAUUCUUAGAUUUAUUGAAGACUAACUACUGCGAAAGCAUUUGCCAAGGAUGUUUUCAUUAAUCAGUGAACGAAAGUUAGGGGAUCGAAGACGAUCAGAUACCGUCGUAGUCUUAACCGUAAACUAUGCCGACUAGGGAUCGGGCGGUGUUUCUAUCUUGACCCGCUCGGCACCUUACGAGAAAUCAAAGUUU